UCCCUUUUUGUAGGUUUGUCCCCUCAAUGU
rnacentral:piRNA from 1 species